UGCGGAGGGAGCUAUCGUUGUUCGGAAUUACUGGGCGUAAAGCGCACGUAGGCGGCUUUUUAAGUCAGGGGUGAAAUCCCGGGGCUCAACCUCGGAACUGCCCUUGAAACUGGGAAGCUAGAAUCUUGGAGAGGCGAGUGGAAUUCCGAGUGUAGAGGUGAAAUUCGUAGAUAUUCGGAAGAACACCAGUGGCGAAGGCGACUCGCUGGACAAGUAUUGACGCUGAGGUGCGAAAGCGUGGGGAGAAAACAGG
rnacentral:rRNA from 1 species